AUUGAACGCUGGCGGCAUGCCUUACACAUGCAAGUCGAACGGCAGCGGGGACUUCGGUCCGCCGGCGAGUGGCGAACGGGUGAGUAACGUAUCGGAACGUACCUUUCAGUGGGGGAUAACGUAGCGAAAGUUACGCUAAUACCGCAUAUUCUGUGAGCAGGAAAGCAGGGGAUCGCAAGACCUUGCGCUGAUUGAGCGGCCGAUAUCAGAUUAGCUAGUUGGUGAGGUAAAGGCUCACCAAGGCGACGAUCUGUAGCGGGUCUGAGAGGAUGAUCCGCCACACUGGAACUGAGACACGGGCCAGACUCCUACGGGAGGCAGCAGUGGGGAAUUUUGGACAAUGGGGGCAACCCUGAUCCAGCCAUGCCGCGUGAGUGAAGAAGGCCUUCGGGUUGUAAAGCUCUUUCGGCCGGGAAGGAAUCGCACGGGCUAAUACCCUGUGUGGAUGACGGUACCGGAAUAAGAAGCACCGGCUAACUACGUGCCAGCAGCCGCCGUAACAC
rnacentral:rRNA from 1 species